rnacentral:rRNA from 1 species
GUGCACGCUGGCGGUAGGCCUAACACAUGCAAGUCGAACGGCAGCACAGUAAGAGCUUGCUCUUACGGGUGGCGAGUGGCGGACGGGUGAGGAAUACAUCGGAAUCUACUUUUUCGUGGGGGAUAACGUAGGGAAACUUACGCUAAUACCGCAUACGACCUACGGGUGAAAGCAGGGGAUCUUCGGACCUUGCGCGAUUGAAUGAGCCGAUGUCGGAUUAGCUAGUUGGCGGGGUAAAGGCCCACCAAGGCGACGAUCCGUAGCUGGUCUGAGAGGAUGAUCAGACACACUGGAACUGAGACACGGUCCAGACUCCUACGGGAGGCAGCAGUGGGGAAUAUUGGACGAUGGGCGCAAGCCUGAUCCAGCCAUACCGCGUGGGUGAAGAAGGCCUUCGGGUUGUAAAGCCCUUUUGUUGGGAAAGAAAAGCAGCAGGUUAAUACCCCGCUGUUCUGACGGUACCCAAAGAAUAAGCACCGGCUAACUUCGUG